rnacentral:hammerhead_ribozyme from 1 species
CUCGAGCUGACGAGUCCCAAAUAGGACGAAACGAGCCUUGUCCUGGAU